rnacentral:rRNA from 1 species
AACAGGGGGAUAACACUGAGAAAUUGGUACUAAUACCCCAUAACAUCAGAUGUGGCAUCACAUUUGGUUGAAAACUCCGGUGGUUAUGGAUGGGCAUGCGUUGUAUUAGCUAGUUGGUGGGGUAACGGCUCACCAAGGCGACGAUACAUAGGGGGACUGAGAGGUUAACCCCCCACAUUGGUACUGAGACACGGACCAAACUCCUACGGGAGGCAGCAGUGAGGAAUAUUGGUCAAUGGACGCAAGUCUGAACCAGCCAUGCCGCGUGCAGGAAGACGGCUCUAUGAGUUGUAAACUGCUUUUGUACGAGGGUAAUAACAGGUACGAGUACCUGCUUGAAAGUAUCGUACGAAUAAGGAUCGGCUAACUCCGUG